rnacentral:tRNA from 2 species
GGGGAGGUAGCCCAAUGGCAGAGGCAAAGGACUUAAAAUCCUUCCAGUGUGGGUUCGAGUCCCAUCCUCCCUACCA